GAUGAACGCUGGCGGCGUGCCUAAUACAUGCCAGUCGAGCGAACAGACGAGGAGCUUGCUCCUCUGACGUUAGCGGCGGACGGGUGAGUAACACGUGGAUAACCUCCCUAUAAGACUGGGAUAACUUCGGGAAACCGGAGCUAAUACCGGAUAAUAUCUUGCACCGCAUGGUUCAAUAGUGAAAGACGGUUUUGCUGUCACUUAUCGAUGGAUCCCGGCCGCAUUAGCUAGUUGGUAAGGUAACGGCUUACCAAGGCAACGAUGCGUAGCCGACCUGAGAGGGUGAUCGGCCACACUGGAACUGAGACACGGUCCAGACUCCUACGGGAGGCAGCAGUAGGGAAUCUGCCGCAAUGGGCGAAAGCCUGACGGAGCAACGCCGCGUGAGUGAUGAAGGUCUUCGGAUCGUAAAACUCUGUUGUUAGGGAAGAACAAAUGUGUAAGUAACUAUGCACGUCGUGACGGUACCUAAUCAGAAAGCCACGGCUAACUACGUG
rnacentral:rRNA from 1 species